rnacentral:rRNA from 1 species
GAUGAACGCUGGCGGCGCGCUCAACACAUGCAAGCCGUACGGCCAUCCCCUUAUUGCACCGUCUGUCGUUUUAAUCUAAUUCUACUGGCGGACGGUGGAUUAACUCCUGCGUAACCCGUUUUCUACAGGGGGAUAACAGUCAGAAAUGGCUGCUAAUACCGCAUAAGCGUACUGAGCUGCAUGGCUCAGUUUUGAAAUCUCCGGUGGUCUAGGCUGGACCCGCGUUGGAUUAGCUGGUUGGUGGGGGAACGGCCCCCCACGGCGGCGAUCCAUAGCCGGCCGGAGAGGGUGAACCGCCACGUUGGGACUGAGACCCGGCCCAGUCUCUUACGGGAGGCAGCAGUGGGGAAUAUUGCACAAGGGGGGAAUCCCUGAUGCAUCGACGACGAGUGAAAGAGGAAGUAUCUAGGUAUGAAAACUUCUAUAAGAAGGGAAGAUAAUGACGGUACCUGACGAAAAAGCAACGGCUAACUACGUG